rnacentral:rRNA from 1 species
AACGAACGCUGGCGGCGUGUUUAAGACAUGCAAGUCGCACGGUGUCAUUUUGGUAGCAAUACUUGAAUGGCAUAGUGGCGCACGGGUGAGUAACACGUGAAUUACAUGCCCUGUAGAGGGGGAUAGCCCAGGGAAACUUGGAUUAUUACCCCAUGGUCUCGCAAGAGUAAAGGUGGCAGCAAGGCUGUCGCUACAGGAUUGGUUCGCGCCCUAUCAGCUAGUUGGCGGGGUAACGGCCCACCAAGGCUACGACGGGUACCUGGUCUGAGAGGACGAUCAGGCACACUGGAACUGAGAAACGGUCCAGACACCUACGGGUGGCAGCAGUCGAGAAUAAUUCACAAUGGGGGCAACCCUGAUGGUGCAACGCCGCGUGGAGGAUGACGGUCUUCGGAUUGUAAACUCCUGUCAUCCGGGAGUAAGACCUGGGCAUGAAUAGUGCACAGGGUUGAUAGUACCGGAAGAGGAAGGGACGGCUAACUUCGUGCCAGCAGCCGCCGUAAGAC